GUGCCCUUCGCCACUUGGUCCUGGAGAGGCCUACUUGCCAGCCUCCUCCCCUGUGACUAUGACUCUUUCAUGUAUCUGGCAUUAAAGCCCCUAGUCUACCUUCAGACAGACUAUUUAUGUAGGCUGCUUUAUUUAUCUUAUGUUUUAGUCACCCUGUACCCAUUAUAGGUGCAGGGUGUGUGUAAUGUAAUUGUUUAUAGUGUGUGUGUGUGUGUACUGUGUAAUGUAUUGCCUGCUCUCUUGUAUUGCUGAGGUUUGCUACCAACUAGGUGGGUUGGCUAUGGAGCUGGUCUAGUGCCCUCUGUUGGUAGCAACAGCAAUAUGCACUACCUGAAUUGCAAGACUGGUUCAUUUGCAUAUUCGGGUAGAUUUACAUAUUGCUAAUUCUGCAGGCAGGUGAGAUAUUUACUGUUAAAUAUUGUCUCCCCCCACCCCUUUAAAAAUGUG